UUGCAGGAGCUCUUUAUAUGCAGAUGGCUACUGGAUAACGAAGAACAAAAGGCCUUAAUCUUUCUAUGUCAUGGAUAGGGGGUGGAAUGCAGCAUAUAUAUAUACGAGAGAGACGGGAACUUGGUUAGCAAAAGUGGGCCAUGCAGUUUAUGGAUUGCAAGAGUCAUGGGAAAUCUUCUAGAAUGCUAGGAUAUGUACCAAGCUUUAAUACCCUCAU
rnacentral:lncRNA from 1 species